rnacentral:rRNA from 2 species
GGAUCCAGACUUUGAUUAUGGCUCAGGAUGAACGCUAGCUACAGGCUUAACACAUGCAAGUCGAGGGGAAACGAUAGAGAAAGCUUGCUUUUUCUAGGCGUCGACCGGCGCACGGGUGAGUAACGCGUAUCCAACCUGCCCAUCACUUGGGGAUAACCUUGCGAAAGUAAGACUAAUACCCAAUGAUAUCUCUAGAAGACAUCUGAAAGAGAUUAGAGAUUUAUCGGUGAUGGAUGGGGAUGCGUCUGAUUAGCUUGUUGGCGGGGUAACGGCCCACUAAGGCGACGAUCAGUAGGGGUUCUGAGAGGAAGGUCCCCCACAUUGGAACUGAGACACGGUCCAAACUCCCACGGGAGGCAGCAGUGAGGAAUAUUGGUCAAUGGGCGAGAGCCUGAACCAGCCAAGUAGCGUGCAGGAUGACGGCCCUAUGGGUUGUAAACUGCUUUUAUAAGGGAAUAAAGUGAGUCUCGUGAGACUUUUUGCAUGUACCUUAUGAAUAAGGACCGGCUAAUCCCGUGCCAGCAGCCGCGGUAAUACGGAAGGUCCGGGCGUUAUCCGGAUUUAUUGGGUUUAAAGGGAGCGUAGGCCGGAGAUUAAGCGUGUUGUGAAAUGUAGACGCUCAACGUCUGCACUGCAGCGCGAACUGGUUUCCUUGAGUACGCACAAAGUGGGCGGAAUUCGUGGUGUAGCGGUGAAGUGCUUAGAUAUCACGAAGAACUCCGAUUGCGAAGCAGCUCACUGGAGCGCAACUGACGCUGAAGCUCGAAAGUGCGGGUAUCGAACAGGA